UACGUAGGGGGCAAGCGUUGUCCGGAUUUAUUGGGUUUAAAGGGUGCGUAGGCGGUUCCUUAAGUCAGUGGUGAAAUACUUCAGCUCAACUGGAGAGGUGCCAUUGAUACUGGGGAACUUGAGUACUGAUGAGGUAGGCGGAAUGGACGGUGUAGCGGUGAAAUGCUUAGAUAUCGUCCAGAACACCGAUAGCGAAGGCAGCUUACUAAAGAGUAACUGACGCUGAGGCACGAAAGUGUGGGGAUCAAACAGG
rnacentral:rRNA from 1 species